rnacentral:rRNA from 1 species
UCGAGAAUUUUUCGCAAUGGGGGAAACCCUGACGGAGCGACGCCGCGUGGAGGAUGAAGGUCUUCGGAUUGUAAACUCCUGUCAUUGGUGAACAAAGUAUUCAGGUUAACUGCCUGGGUGCCUGCUAGUAGCCGAAGAGGAAGGGACGGCUAACUCUGUGCCAGCAGCCGCGGUAAUACAGAGGUCCCGAGCGUUGUUCGGAUUCAUUGGGCGUAAAGGGUGCGUAGGCGGUCUUCUAAGUUUGAUGUGAAAUCCCGGGGCUCAACCCUGGAAUUGCAUUGAAUACUGGAGGACUAGAGUACUGGAGAGGAAACUGGAAUUUACGGUGUAGCAGUGAAAUGCGUAGAGAUCGUAAGGAAGACCAGUGGCGAAGGCGAGUUUCUGGACAGUAACUGACGCUGAGGCACGAAGGCCAGGGGAGCAAACGG